AACGAACGCUGGCGGCAUGCCUAACACAUGCAAGUCGAACGAGACCUUCGGGUCUAGUGGCGCACGGGUGCGUAACGCGUGGGAACCUGCCCUUAGGUUCGGAAUAACUCCCCGAAAGGGGUGCUAAUACCGGAUAAUGUCUUCGGACCAAAGAUUUAUCGCCUUUGGAUGGGCCCGCGUGGGAUUAGCUAGUUGGUAGGGUAAAAGCCUACCAAGGCGACGAUCCAUAGCUGGUCUGAGAGGAUGAUCAGCCACACUGGGACUGAGACACGGCCCAGACUCCUACGGGAGGCAGCAGUGGGGAAUAUUGGACAAUGGGCGAAAGCCUGAUCCAGCAAUGCCGCGUGAGUGAUGAAGGUCGUAGGGUUGUAAAGCUCUUUUACCCGGGAUGAUAAUGACAGUACCGGGAGAAUAAGCGCCGGCUAACUCCGUG
rnacentral:rRNA from 1 species